rnacentral:tRNA from 1 species
GGAGGCGUAGCUCAGCAGGUUCAGAGCAUCCGGCUUUUACCCGGACGACGAGGGUUCGAUUCCCUACGCCUCCA